ACUCUCGUCCGACUUUGUGAAAUGACUUGCGAGGUGUAGGAUAAGUGGGCGCCGCCCGGCGAAAGUGAAAUCCCACUACUUUUAACGUUUUUUCUUUUCCGUGAAUCGGGGCGGGGCAUUGCCCCUCUUUUUGGCCCCCGGCUCGCUUGCGGGCCGCUCCGGGCGGCCGCCCUUGUCCGGUGGGGCGU
rnacentral:ncRNA from 1 species